CUGCAUGGCUGUCGUCAGCUCGUGUCGUGAGAUGUUCGGUUAAGUCCGCUAACGAGCGCAACCCUCGUCGUAUGUUAUAUGUGUCAUACGAGACUGCCGGUAAAAAGCCGGAGGAAGGUGAGGAUGAUGUCAAGUCAGCAUGACCUUUAUAUCCAGGGCUACACACACGCUACAAUGGUCUGUACAAUGGGUAGCCAAGCCGCGAGGCGGAGCCAAUCCUGAAAGCAGGCCUCAGUUCAGAUUGCAGUCUGCAACUCGACUGCAUGAAGCCGGAGUUGCUAGUAACCGCAGGUCAGCAAUACUGCGGUGAAUACGUUCCCGGGUCUC
rnacentral:rRNA from 1 species